rnacentral:misc_RNA from 1 species
GAUGAAGAACGCAGCGAAAUGCGAUACGUAAUGUGAAUUGCAGAAUUCAGUGAAUCAUCGAGUCUUUGAACGCACAUUGCGCCCCCUGGUAUUCCAGGGGGCAUGCCUGUCCGAGCGUCAUUGCUGCCCUCAAGCACGGCUUGUGUGUUGGGCCUCCGUCCUCCUCCCGGGGGACGGGCCCGAAAGGCAGCGGCGGCACCGCGUCCGGUCCUCGAGCGUAUGGGGCUUCGUCACCCGCUCUUGUAGGCCCGGCCGGCGCUUGCCGACACAUCAAUCUUUUUUCCAGGUUGACCUCGGAUCAGGUAGGGAUACCCGCUGAACUUAAGCAUAUCAAUAAGCGGAGGA